rnacentral:rRNA from 1 species
AACGAACGCUGGCGGCAGGCUUAACACAUGCAAGUUGAGCGCCCCGCAAGGGGAGCGGCAGACGGGUGAGUAACGCGUGGGAAUCUACCCAUCUCUACGGAAUAACGCAUGGAAACGUGUGCUAAUACCGUAUACGUCCUUCGGGAGAAAGGUUUAUCGGAGAUGGAUGAGCCCGCGUUGGAUUAGCUAGUUGGUGGGGUAAAGGCCUACCAAGGCGACGAUCCAUAGCUGGUCUGAGAGGAUGAUCAGCCACACUGGGACUGAGACACGGCCAAGACUCCUAGGGGAGGCAGCAGUGGGGAAUAUUGGACAAUGGGCGCAAGCCUGAUCCAGCCAUGCCGCGUGAGUGAUGAAGGCCCUAGGGUUGUAAAGCUCUUUCACCGGUGAAGAUAAUGACGGUAACCGGAGAAGAAGCCCCGGCUAACUUCGUGCCAGCCGCCGCCGUAACAC